CAGAGUUGAAAGACUCCCAACCAUCUGCUGAACGUUACCUGAACCGUUGCUUCGGCGGGCGGCUCCUCACCCCCGGUUGGAAGCCCGGCCCCUUCCGGGGGCCCCGGAGGCAUCCAAACUCUUGAUAUCUUACGGCCUCUCUGAGUAGUCUUACUAAAUUAAGUCA
rnacentral:misc_RNA from 1 species